GGGGAUUUUAACCCUGCCCCUAGCUCCCAAAGCUAAGAUCCUAACUUAGACUAUUCCUUGCC
rnacentral:tRNA from 1 species